rnacentral:rRNA from 1 species
AUUGCCUCAGUAACGGCGAGUGAAGCGGCAACAGCUCAAAUUUGAAAUCUGGCCCCCUCGGGGUCCGAGUUGUAAUUUGUAGAGGGUGCUUUGGCGUUGGCCGUGGUCUAAGUUCCUUGGAACAGGACGUCACAGAGGGUGAGAAUCCCGUACGUGGCCGCCGGUCUUCGCCGUGUAAAGCCCCUUCGACGAGUCGAGUUGUUUGGGAAUGCAGCUCUAAAUGGGAGAUAAAUUUCUUCUAAAGCUAAAUAUUGGCCAGAGACCGAUAGCGCACAAGUAGAGUGAUCGAAAGAUGAAAAGCACUUUGGAAAGAGAGUCAAAAAGCACGUGAAAUUGUUGAAAGGGAAGCGCUUGCAGCCAGACGUGCCCGCAGUUGCUCACCUGGGCUCUCGCCCGGGGCACUCUUCUGCGGGCAGGCCAGCAUCAGUUCGGGCGGUUGGAUAAAGGCCUCUAUCACGUACCACCCUUCGGGGUGUCCUUAUAGGGGAGGCGCAACACGGCCAGCCCGAACUGAGGACCGCGCAUCAGCUAGGAUGCUGGCGUAAUGGCUGUAAGCGGCCCGUCUUGAAACACGGACCAAGGAGUCUAACAUCUAUGCGAGUGUUUGGGUGUAAAGCCCGGGCGCGCAAUGAAAGUGAACGGAGGUGGGAACCCCUUACGGGGUGCACCAUCGACCGAUCCUGAAGUUUACGGAAGGAUUUGAGUAAGAGCAUAGCUGUUGGGACCCGAAAGAUGGUGAACUAUGCCUGAAUAGGGUGAAGCCAGGGGAAACCCUGGUGGAGGCUCGCAGCGGUUCUGACGUGCAAAUCGAUCGUCAAAUUUGGGCAUAGGGGCGAAAGA